rnacentral:rRNA from 1 species
UGGGGAAUUUUGGACAAUGGGGGCAACCCUGAUCCAGCAAUGCCGCGUGCAGGAAGAAGGCCUUCGGGUUGUAAACUGCUUUUGUACGGAACGAAAAGGCUCUGGUUAAUACCUGGGGCAUAUGACGGUACCGUAAGAAUAAGCACCGGCUAACUACGUGCCAGCAGCCGCGGUAAUACGUAGGGUGCAAGCGUUAAUCGGAAUUACUGGGCGUAAAGCGUGCGCAGGCGGUGCUGUAAGACAGGCGUGAAAUCCCCGGGCUUAACCUGGGAAAGGCGCUUGUGACUGCAGUGCUGGAGUGUGGCAGAGGGGGAUGGAAUUCCGCGUGUAGCAGUGAAAUGCGUAGAUAUGCGGAGGAACACCGAUGGCGAAGGCAAUCCCCUGGGCCUGCACUGACGCUCAUGCACGAAAGCGUGGGGAGCAAACA